rnacentral:sRNA from 1 species
CAGAACGAGAGGCUGAAGCUCUAAAGCGACGGCAGCAGGAGGUGGAAGAGCGGCAGAGGAUGCUUGAAGAAGAGAGGAAGAAAAGGAAACAGUUCCAAGACUUGGGCAGGAAGAUGUUGGAAGAUCCUCAGGAACGGGAACGUCGGGAACGCAGGGAGAGGAUGGAACGGGAGACCAAUGGAAAUGAGGAUGAGGAAGGGCGGCAGAAGAUCCGGGAAGAGAAGGAUAAGAGCAAGGAACUGCAUGCCAUUAAGGUGCAGGCCUUGGCUCCAUCUUCACUUCUCUCCCACACAAAAAUGAGGUUUAGUUAUUUGGCCGUUGUGAUCUCUGCAUGUGAGAAUUGGGCCUCAAAGCUCAUGUGCUUUGUGUUCUGUCCUUGGGCAGGAGCGUUAUCUGGGUGGCAUCAAAAAGCGGCGCCGAACGAGACAUCUUAAUGACCGAAAAUUUGUUUUUGAGUGGGAUGCAUCUGAGGACACAUCCAUUGACUACAACCCCCUGUACAAAGAACGGCACCAGGUGCAGUUAUUAGGGCGAGGCUUCAUUGCAGGCAUUGACCUCAAGCAGCAGAAACGAGAGCAGUCACGUUUCUAUGGAGACCUAAUGGAGAAGAGGCGAACCCUGGAAGAAAAGGAGCAGGAGGAGGCAAGACUCCGCAAACUUCGUAAGAAGGAAGCCAAGCAGCGCUGGGAUGAUCGUCAUUGGUCUCAGAAAAAGUUAGAUGAGAUGACGGACAGGGACUGGCGGAUCUUCCGUGAGGACUACAGCAUCACCACCAAAGGUGGCAAGAUCCCCAAUCCCAUCCGAUCCUGGAAAGACUCUUCUCUGCCCCCACACAUCUUGGAGGUCAUUGAUAAGUGUGGCUACAAGGAACCAACACCUAUCCAGCGUCAGGCAAUUCCCAUUGGGCUACAGAAUCGUGAUAUCAUUGGUGUGGCUGAGACUGGCAGUGGCAAGACAG